rnacentral:sRNA from 1 species
UGAUCCCCAUGAAAGGGUCAUUUGAAAAACUCUUCAAGAAGCUGAUGGAAGUUUGAACCUGAAGUGAAUGGCUGCAGCUUUGGAAGGGUUUACAAUUGCUGAGUAGAAGAACCUGCUGUAUUUAAUGACAGUCCACUUGCCUAAUUUAUAGAAAAUUUGCCACCUUUAUUUCGAGGAUCAAACUUGAAGUAUGACAUCUGUGAGUGUCGCGCCCACCUCGGCCAGCAAGGAAGAUGCAACACGGUCAGAUUCUUCUCAACAGCCUUUAUUGCAGGACCACCUUCAUUGCUGAUAUGGGGACGUCGAGCAGCAAAAGCACUCGCCUUAUAUACACAACAGGCUGAGGCUAUGCUAAUUGUCCUUCAGGGAUUGGCAGAGCAUGUAUCACCC